GUGGGGCUGGGGCUCAGUGGCAGAGCGCUCGUCUUGCAUGUGUGAGGCACUGAGUUUGAUCCUCAGCACCACA
rnacentral:tRNA from 1 species